AGGUGCAUAGCUCAGUGGGAGAGCGCUUCCCUGACAUGGAAGAAGUCCGCGGUUCAAAUCCGCGUGCACCUACUA
rnacentral:tRNA from 1 species